rnacentral:misc_RNA from 1 species
GUGUGUGUGUGUGUGUGUGUGACUACCAUUAAAGAGUCAUCAAAGUAACUUUUCCACCUCUCUUUAAUUAUACGUAAAGAAAUAUAAUUAAAAUGUAAAUAAGAGCAAGAGAAUGCACACACACUUAGGCCCCUGUGAUAGCAGAGAGAUAUCAAAAGGGGAACUUUUCAAUUACACACAAUGAUUCUUCAAACUGAUGGCUAGAAUACAAAGUGAAGAAAAAGCUUGUGCAAUUCAACCACUCACUUACAAACACAUAUCUCUCAUAAUGCCAACAUCUGUCUUUUCUAUUACGAAGCAAUUUUCCCUUACUAGAAUGGGAGAGAAGAAAAAUUUUGGAGGGAGAAAGAGAGAAGGGUAUGCCUUUUAUGUGAUAGAUAAAGUAACAAUCAAUCAGUGAUUAGCUUUAGGCUUUUAGCCAUCUGACAAUAAAUAGUUGUAUAUAACUAUGUUUAUAUUAACACCAAAAACAAUUCAUGCUUCUGCAACUAUAGCACUCCAUGAAAACACUUUUUCAUUUUUUAUGCCAAGAUGCAGUUCAUGGACUGUGUUCACUUCAGUAGUAAAGACUACCAUUUUGUGCAUUGGCAACUUUUAAUGACACUAAAAACUCAUUUUGGGGAAAUGGCAAUAUAACUAUCAGAAUGAAGCUAAUAUGAUGUUAAGAAGCCUGGAGAAGAAAUGUCUACAAAACAGCUUCAAGAUAUCCAAGCUCCCCUUCCAUGUUUAAAUCAAAAAGAAAUGAACAGGGGGAAUGAAUCAUCUAUCAGAAGCAAUUUCUUGAAGUUA